GCUUGGCCUAGUAUCUUUGAACCCUCUGAUCCCCUAAUUGCCUUGACGUGUCAUUCAUUCUUUGUGUGCUGAAGAACAUGUGUCAGUUGAGGUGUGGAGAGGGAGGCCUGCCCGACCUGCUCCAGCCCCACACCGCAGCCUGCUGUGCAGAUGACAGAUGCCUGCAUUCUGCAGAGGGCUGGAAUAUCUGGAGGGGUCAGAUAAGGUCCGGUUGCAGGAUGGCGGUGCUGUCUGAUGGCGGUCCAAUGCCACGUGCCUCUGAGUCUGAACCCUCAAUCCCGUCUACUACUCAUUCGACCAAGGUGCCCCCGCCUAUCUUCGAUCUCUUAUCUCUCCGUAUACCCCAUAUGCUAUUCAAUCACACUCUCUGCACCCCUUAUCUGCUCUCUCAUUUUCCGGAGCCUGUUCAUUCUCUACCUUCGCUCCUGAGAGGCAGAAUGAAUUGCCAAUACAAGUCAGACUUGCUCAGCCCAUGACCUCCGAUGGGCACCACAGCACCUGUGAUGUCUCAGAUCUGAACUACAUCCUAACUACACCCUUAUGCUACUGUAUAUUGCACUAAUGUUUUUAAUACUGAAACUGGUACUGGAACUUUCUCAUUUCACUUUGUUUGAAUAAGACACACAGUACAUACCUAAAAGGUGUUUACGUUACUACUAGGGAACAAGUAAAGGUUUAUUCCAUGCUGCAAAAGAAAAACACAACGUUUCAUUUGUGGCACCUUCGUU
rnacentral:lncRNA from 1 species